rnacentral:lncRNA from 10 species
GUAGGGAGCUCGGCGUCGUAAGCUCUGACUCUCAGAUCAGUGGGCACUAGAACUACGAACGCUUAUUCAUUAGGAAUAAAAGUGUCCCAAGCGGGACUUUCUCAGCUGAGAGAAAUGCUCCGUGUCUUGAUGGGAAUGUGAGUUUGUCGGCGGCCGCGUUGCCAAAGUCACUGAGUCACGCACAGAAGCACUGAGCAUCUCACUGCGUGUAAAUUCUGUCUCCACAACUGAGCAAGGGCUGAACACUAGUCACCUGUUUUGUGCAGGGGAGUGAGUUAGCAAUUCUGAAGCCAUCUUGUUUAACACAGGGGAAGUAUCUUGAGGGGAGUGGUCUGUCUCUGACUGCUGGGGAGGACGUGGACAUGCGUGGACUACGUUACAUCGGAGAAGUUUCAGCCUCCUAAACGCCUAUCAUCUGGCUCUGCCCACUGAGAGGGCCCAAGAGCAUCGAGCUCGCCAAGGGUCCGGAGCUUGGUUUCCAAAUCUCAUUCUCCACUGACGAGAACCAGGGUCCCGGAGAAAGAGCCGAGUCCAAGACCGAGGCGGGGGAGCCUUGAUGCCUUAGAGAGUGAGAAAGUCUUCAGAGAACGCUGGUGCGCGUUCAGAGACACUUAAACAGCUCAAAGAGGCUCCCAUCAGCCAGAGCUGGGACCAUUUUACAGCCAAACUGAGUGACCGUAGUAAAGUAUUGUGAUAAUUAACACGAUAAAAAUCCAUGAGUUUAGCCUGGUGUGGUGGCACCGUGGAGGCCAGAAGAUCCCUUGAGCCCAGGAGUUUGAGGCCAGCCUGGGCAUCCAGCCAGACCUGUCGCUACAAAAAGGAAAAACAAAAAAGACUCUAUAAGUCUAUACUGAUAUAAUUGAAACAAAUAAAUAAGUGGUGUUAGUAAGUGACUGAUUAAAUAAAUAAAUGAAAAGGAAAAGUUUUCACUCACAGCAGAAUGACAGCAAAUAAAUAUAGAAGGAACGGGUGGUGAGUUUAGAAAAUCAUGAGUGAAAAGAAACAGGACAAAAAGUAUCUUCCCACGAGUUACUCACUUAUUAGUUACAAAUGGAAAUGUUAUAACUUUGGUGGAGAAAACUGGCCAACAGCCCCUUAACCACGUGAUCAAAGUCAGCAUCAGCAUGGAGGCAGGACCGCCUCGCCUGCACCGGGGUAUUAACAGGAAGCCUGGAGAGGCCACUGGGGCUUCAGCGUGCUGCUGCUGCACAGACAACACCUGCAUGGGACGUGGAGGAGGCAUCAGCAAACCCAGAUUGAGGGGGCUGGAAGAAAUCACUGGGCUGAACUCGGAGUGUGUCAAGGUAGGAGAGAUAAAGACCUCCCGAGGAGCUGCUCCAGCUGCAUCUGAAAGGUGAGGGUGCAUGGGAUGGAAGAGGAUCUAGCGGGUGGACGUGAUCACAGCAGCUGCAUCUGGAAGGCGAGGGUGCAUGGGAUGGAAGCAGAUCUGGUGGGUGGAGGUGAGGACUACUGCAGCUGCAUCUGGAAG